GAUGAACUGUGGGUAGCGGAGAAAUUCCAAUCGAACCCGGAGAUAGCUGGUUCUCUCCGAAAUAGCUUUAGGGCUAGCCUUGAAAUAGAUUACCGGAGGUAAAGCACUGAAUUGGCUAGGGGUCGAGAGGUUACUGAACCUUAUCAAACUAAGAAUGCCGGAUAAUCGUUUUUCAGGAGUCAGACAGUGGGAGAUAAGUUUCAUUGUCAAAAGGGAAACAGCCCAGACCCACAGCUAAGGUCCCCAAGUAUAGUUAAGUGGAAAAGGAUGUGGAAUUGCACAGACAACCAGGAUGUUGGCUUAGAAGCAGCCACUCAUUAAAAGAGUGCGUAAUAGCUCACUGGUCGAGUGACUCUGCGCCGAAAAUUUAACGGGGCUAAACUAUACACCGAAGCUUGGGAUACAUCUAAUGUAUGGUAGGAGAGCGUUCUGUAUGGGGAGAAGUCGUAGCGAAAGCGGCGGUGGACUAUACAGAAGUGAGAAUGCCGGAAUAAGUAGCGAGAAUUAAGUGAGAAUCUUAAUGGCCGAAAGUCUAAGGUUUUUGGAGGAAGGUUCGUCCGCUCCAAGUAAGUCGGGAGCUAAGGUCAGGCCGAAAGGCGUAGCCGAUGCACAUACGGUUGAUAUUCCGUAACCAUCUGUAAUUUAAGCAAAGGGACACUUCAAAAGGGUGUGACCCGGGCGUUGGUUGACCCGGGCGUAAGGGACCGAAAUUAGAGUAGGGAAGCACACUUAGCUGAAGGCGAGAAAAGCUUUGCGUAUAGAAACAGAUGCCCGUACCGCAAACCGACACAGGUGGACAGGAAGAGAAUUCUAAGGCCAGCGGGAGAAGGGUAGUUAAGGAACUCGGCAAAUUGACUCCGUAACUUCGGAAUAAGGAGUGCUCGAAAGAGCCGCAGAGAAUAGGCCCAGGCGACUGUUUAGCAAAAACACAGGUCUCUGCCAAAUCGAAAGAUGAAGUAUAGGGGCUGACACCUGCCCGGUGCCGGAAGGUUAAGAGGAGGAGUGAGAGCUCCGAAUUGAAGCCCCGGUAAACGGCGGCCGUAACUAUAACGGUCCUAAGGUAGCGAAAUUCCUUGUCAGGUAAG
rnacentral:rRNA from 1 species